rnacentral:tRNA from 2 species
UGGGGAAUAGCCAAGCGGUAAGGCAACGGUUUUUGGUACCGUCACGCGAAGGUUCGAAUCCUUCUUCCCCAGCCA